rnacentral:rRNA from 1 species
GACGAACGCUGGCGGCGUGCUUAACACAUGCAAGUCGAACGAAGAGCGACGGAAGCUUGCUUCUAUCAAUCUUAGUGGCGAACGGGUGAGUAACGCGUAAUCAACCUGCCCUUCAGAGGGGGACAACAGUUGGAAACGACUGCUAAUACCGCAUACGAUCUAAUCUCGGCAUCGAGGAUGGAUGAAAGGUGGCCUCUACAUGUAAGCUAUCACUGAAGGAGGGGAUUGCGUCUGAUUAGCUAGUUGGAGGGGUAACGGCCCACCAAGGCGAUGAUCAGUAGCCGGUCUGAGAGGAUGAGCGGCCACAUUGGGACUGAGACACGGCCCAGACUCCUACGGGAGGCAGCAGUGGGGAAUCUUCCGCAAUGGACGAAAGUCUGACGGAGCAACGCCGCGUGAGUGAUGACGGCCUUCGGGUUGUAAAGCUCGGUUAAUCGGGACGAAAGGCCUUCUUGCGAAUAGUGAGAAGGAUUGACGGUACCGGAAUAGAAAGCCACGGCUAACUACGUG